UAGGGGUGGGUAAACAUUAUCAUCUCUGUUCUAAUUCGAUCUCUGUGUGCGUGCUUGGUCUCCGUUUCUUUAUCACGAGAGUGGGAACUGCGUGCUUGGUCUGCUGCACUUUCUCCGGGUCAACUUCUUGACGGAUGGAGUAAUAAUCUCCAUGCAUGUGUAAGACACAGUCUGAUUUGAUUAAGGGGUCCGUUUGCUAUGCAAUCAACCAACUAAUGCAAUCGUGCAAUCAAAUCGACGCGAGCCCUUCGAUCUGCGAACUGCGCCUACGAUUCUCGUCGGGAGCACCCACCUCGGUUUAACUUAAUCUUUCCGUAAAUCAACCUGCACCCAGGUCUCUUGUUUUGUGAAAAACCCCUUGCCAUCAACCUCUCGAGUCUUCUUCGCCCAACAGAUCGAUUCCUGGUUUCCUCUCCGCAUCGAUCGUCCCAGGUCAUCUGAAUGCCGCCGGCCGGCCGGCCAACACCACACUGUCUUCCUCCGUGUGACCGCUGCCCUGAAACAAUCCGCCUGUACUACAUGGCAAGCCCUCAGUGAUUUGAUCUCUUCUUCUCCAAAGAGAAGAGCUCAAGUCAUGGCUCCUUCCUUCUUCUCUCUCUGCGCACAGACAAGCAAUGAUAACAAAUCAUGUUCCAGUCGCAACAUCUUUCUCUUUCCAUGCAGACGAGCAAUGCAGUGGUGCAGAAUUGCGGACUUGAACUAAACAUAAGAAAUACUCCAUGUUCUAAAGGUUUCAGGUGACUACAUCCCAGAGACCCAGAUUGCUCAGACAAACAUAAAUAUAUGUUUGGAGAGAUAAUAUUUUUUACUAAUCACAGGUCGCAACAAAGUUGUAGGAACUAACCACCAACUAAGUACUGCGAGACUAGCUACAAGCAUUCUAAGUUCAUAACACUUCUGAGGUUUCUGAAGUUCCUGUCCUUCUUUUGUUUCAGUUAAAAAAGCACUCACUUGCUCUCUCUACAUAUUGAAUAUUUGAAUACCAAUUUUUUUUUCUGAUUAUCAUAUUUGAACAAGCAUGAUGAAUCAAGAGUUUCGCUAGUUUGGUUUGUUGAUGAACAGUGUCAGAUUACUUUGCUAUCUGUAGAACAGUAGUUAAGAGCACCACAGUUCCUCUUGUGCUUUUGUUCCAGAGACAAAAUUCAUUUUUGAGGUUGCAUUACCUUCAAAACCACAAGACUCUUUGUGGUGUUACCCGAGAGAGUACUGUAGAUUGUUAGUUGAGUUCUUCUCCGAAGAGGGAUGCAGCGACAGGGACAGAAAGGGCGUCCAGGCCGUUGUGACGCUGAGCAAUCUGAAGCAGCAGGGAUCAGACCGCGUGGGGGACUGCCGUGCAGGAUCGUUUGAGGAAAGAGGUGGCACGGAGAAAAACGGUGUG
rnacentral:lncRNA from 1 species